rnacentral:tRNA from 1 species
GCCAGCGUAGCUCAAUGGUAGAGCGUCAGGCUUUUACUGUUCCACAAAUCGUGGAAGUAUUUAACCUGAAUGUUGCGGGUUCGACCCCCGCCGUUGGCU